AAGGCAAGUACUCUAACCCUUCACUUAUUGUUCAAGUGAGAUAUUUGAUUCAAUCAUGAUAUCGAUAGAUUGAUUACUCUCAAGAUUUAUUGCAAGUACUUCUACCUUUCUCUUGCAAAUUGGAAGCAAGUGAACUUUUCUUAAACUUUUGAUUCUUGCAAAUGCAUGACUUAAGUACGAUUUUGAUUUGAAAGGUUGACAUACCAAAUUGGUACACAUGGUUUCAAAAUAUUUAUAAAUAAUUUUCAUAACUCGGUUUAAUUCCUCUGAUCGUAAGGCUUAUCUGUUAUAAGUAUACAUCUGAUGGAAUAAACCUUUUUCUUGAAAAUGUAAAGCUGGGAAAACACUCGAACUUUGUGAGACAUUUGGUACGGUUAAUAAGUGGCUGAGGCGCCAGUCCCAAGUUUUAACAGAUCUGGCUAUAUAUGUGUGAAUCCAUGGAUAUUAUUUUUUUCAACAUUAUCUAAUGUGUUUAGGUAUUGUUGGGGCCUGUGAAGGACUGAUCAUCUUUCACAGACCAUUGCGUCUUAUCUAAAUCCAAUAUGUAAACAGGUUCGAGAAUUUGAUGUUAAAGGAAGGGGGACUUCCUAUUUGAAUUGAAAAGCUUUUAAAGGAAGGGUUAUUUCCAAAUUAAUUUGAAAAGCUUUUGAUUUAGAAGCGGAGGCUUCAACUUGAUUUAAAAAGCAAAUAAUUGUUGAUUUUUAAACUGUUUUCGAACCGUUACGUUUUACUAUGCUGCUUCUCCACUUGUUUUACUAUACAGCUUUACAUACUGAUUUGUUUACAGUACAUUUUUUUACUGUUUACCAUGCAUUUGAUUACUUUAUCACUUGCUGAGCAUUUUUGGCUCAUUCUUGCUUUUCAACCCUAACCUUUCAGCCAAGGACAAAGAUGUUUCACCCGAUUAGGCUGCGUGUGCGUGUAAGAGUAAUGAUAGGCAAGGAUUGCAAGUGGUUGAGUUUCAGGCAUAUGGUCAGGUAGAGUAUCCAGAAAGAUGUCAUUAAGACUAGUUGCAGUUGCAGUUGUGCAAUUUAAUUCAGUUGGGAAUUAGAUUUGUUUAUUUGGUUAUCAACUACUCUUCAUAUCGAGGUUUAGUUGAUAAUUUAGUUGAAGUUGUAUAAAAUUUGUAGUUUUGUUUUCUGAUUUCAAUACUAUAGCCUGUAUCGAUCCUGUUUUCAGGGGGUGAAAUUGAUUUGUAAUUUAAAUCAUUUUUAAAAUAUCCAAGUUUUAAAAUAUUUGUUUUUACUUUCUUUCAAAAAUACCGGUUUUUAAUUGUUUUUCUUUUAGUGGCUCAAAAAUACAGGUUUUAAAUUAUUUUUUUAUUUACACGUGGCACCAGAUCCAGACCCCCGGAUCUGUGGGAUGUCACAGUUGGUAUCAGAGCUGCAGGUUAUAAGUCAUUGAAAUCAGAAUAUAGGUGGUAAUAUCAGGUUUAAUAAAAAGGUGCGUUAAGUGUAACCUCACAUAGAGGUAGUCUACAACUAUUUGGAAUAGUGUGUGUCAAUAGAACCAAGAUUCACAUAUAGUAUUGACCUUGAGUAUAUCAUAGUGUGUAUAAUAGGUUUUCUGUUCCAGAACUAGCAAGUUUAUAUCUCAAGGAAGAAAGAACAGGCCUCCACCAGUUUUUAUUAUAUUGAGUAUUUAGUACUAAUACUAGCAACCAAAUAGAUUCACUUGUUGAGUCUAGAACGCCACUAAUUAUUUCAUAGUCCUUGUCACCAAGAUAGAGAUAAAUUAAAAGGGUUACUAUGAGUUGUUAUAUUGUGGAUUAAAAUUUCUUAACACCAGUUUAAUUGAGUUUCAAACUCAUAGUAGGUGGAUAAGAUUUUUGUCAGUGUUUAGCUUGUUAGUCGAUUUAGAGUCAAAACUAUUUGAAGGGUGAAAGAUAGACCUAUUAGUUGAGCUUUAAAAUUGGAAUCAGUUGAGGUCGGACCAGUAGAAGCAUUCCCAUAGUCUAGAGCAUCUUUUGAAGUAUUUGUCAAGUUUUGAGAACUAUUUGAAAGGUCACCUUUUGUUUCAUGUCAGUGAUAUAUAGAGUUGGUCAAAGAAUAUAGGUGUUACCAGGUCCGAGUUUCAAGCUUUGUAUAUAGUUAAGUAGUGAGCGUUGGAGCUACGUAGAGUUCGUAUUAGAUUACUCGAUCUAGUACCUAUGAGUGAGUUAAGAUGUCAACGCUCUAUGGUGAUGACUGCAUAAAGCUGGAAAAGAUUUCUGAUUGACAACUAUAUCGAUAACGGGAUCUUCAGAGGCUAUUACAAGUCAACGAUAAUAUAUGCAAGUGAUCACUAGAACGUCGAGAAGAAUCAUUACAAUCCAAAACGAGUCAUCAAAUGAAUCGUUCAAGAGGACAUCCAUGAAAAUCCUGGCAAUACCUUCCUCAUAUUCGAUAAUAUUGAUUUCUUUCCUCAUCAUUGAUUUGUUCUGACAUCACUUUCAUAAAGACAUUUGAUGAAGAAUAUAUCUUUCUGUCUCACUUGAGUUCUCGAAUGAUACUUGUGCUUACUGUAACACCUUUGGAAUCUAUUCAAUUUUGAUAAUUUCAAACCCUUUCAUAUUCUUUAUUCUAACCGAGGUGAACAACCCUACUUACAGGGGACACAAGGACUAUCUGUCUGUGUGAUAGAAGUUGGAUGGGACGCCAUCCCUUGUGUGUGUUGUAUAUACAAGAAGGUUAACUACCUUUAGUAGUGUCUUAAUCUAGACACACAACACUGAGUUCUUUAGAUCAUAUUGAUCUCUCAGUUAUCUCUCAUUUCAAAUGAGAUUUAUUUAACAUUCUUAUAAUCAUAUGACCACAAUCACGUGACAUUUGCUUCGAUAUAUGAAAUCUGUCAUACUUUUAAAUCUUCAUGAUUCUUGUUAUCUCUAAUAGUUUGGAGGUAUGCCAACCAAGUUGCUAACAUAAAUUAAGACUUUGUAGUAUAAAGCACCAGGGAUGAAAACGGAUGACAAUGCGGGUCAAUCAACAAAAAUUUUAUAUAGGAAAGAAAGAGUAUUAUGGAUUACAGAGAUCGUGCGCUCUAGUUUGCUUUUCGUUGAUUCCGAGGACGGAAUCCUUUUAAGGGUGGGAGAUUGUGACGACCCGGAUUUUUCAAAAUUUAUUUUGUUAGUUUAUUUGUGAUUCUUCAGAAAAAGUGGAAUAAAAUUUAAUAUUUUAUCCUAGUUUGAUAAAUUCUAAAAAUAUUUGUUUAAAUUAUUUUUCGGGUUCACUAGGGUAUCGAAAUUUUGUUGUCUGUUUUGAAUUAAAUGGCAUGUUAAAUACGUGAAUCACUUGUUAUAAGAUUUAACUGUUUAUUUGGAUGUAAUUUAUGCAUGUGUAUAUGUUUGUUACUAAUUAUUGUUUUGUUUUAGAAAUAUUUAUAAUUUUCUUAAAAAUAGAUUUUUGAAAGAUGAAUUCCUAAAAAUAUGAAAGCGAUUUCAAAAAUUCUUUUAAUUAUUUGAUAACGAUAAUAACUAUUUUUAGGAGUUUUUAUAAUAUUAAAAAUAUCACCUUCAUAAAGGUGUGACUUCUAAAUAUUUCCUGAAUGCAUUUAACUUCUAAAUUGCGUAUAAAUUUCAAAAUUGCUCUGUAAAUCUUGAAAGUUUUAUUUUAUUAGUUUUAAAAUAUUUCGGGAUUUAUAAAAAUAUUUCGGUAGUUGUCGGGAGAAAUUUUACUACAAGUUAUCUCCGUAAAAUAGUUAAAGCUGGUAUAAGAUUAGUGAUUAGCCAGCUCGUUAAGGACACGUGACAGCACAAGGCUCAGCCACGUGCCCCUAUUUUCGCCACCGCAAACCCUCUUUUCUUUUCUUCUCCAUACUUUUCUUUCACUCCAUUUUUUUCAUCAGUCUUGACUCUCUCCCUCACCAUUCUAUCCCGUCUCUCCUCUCUCGAUCACCCCUCCUUUCUUCUCUACUUUUCUGCUGUGUUACAAGCCACCGCGACGCCGCCCUCUGCCGCCGCGAUUCUCCGGCUAGUGUUGUCGCGGUUUCAAUCAAGCCGCCUGUGUAUUUCCGGCGAGCUCUCCACCCCGCACCUCCAGUUCAAUUAGUGGUAUAAAUUGUUUUAUUUCCUCUUUUCAUUAUAAAAUCAGUUUAUAUAUAUGGGUGUAUGUAAUUGUGAUGUGAUUACUGGGUAUACACCUUUUCUUCAAUAAAUCAGAGUAUAUAUGUGUGUAUAUGAUCAGAUUGCUAGUUGGGAGAUUUGUUUGAUAUGAAUAUCAAUUCGAUAUAUAAAUGAAGUAUAAGAGUUGGUUGCUAUGUGUUUUGAGUCUACAAAUUAAUGGGUGUUGAUAUUUGAUUUGAGAAUAUGAGUUUUGGGUAAUUUGUAUUGCGAUAUGAAAAAUUGAUAAUGCUAAAGCUUGGUUUUAUCUAAAUUCGGAUAAACUAGUGAUAUUGGUUUAUAUUGUAAGUGUAAGUUGAGGUCUGAAAUAAUUGGAUUGAGCUAACUUGAGUAAUUGAAGUAUAACUUGCGAAUUAUUUAGUCAAUUGAUUGUUAUGUUUAAUUUCGCAGCAACACUGUCCUGUUUUCUAGCUCUGUUUUGGGACUGUUGAAUUCGAGUGAUAUGCUCAAUUUCUUUGUGAUUAUAUGCUCCUUAGAGUCUAGUUUAUGUGCGCGAAAGAAUCGAUUCGAUUCGACUAGCGAGCUAGGAGAGAUAUGACCGUUUUAGUAUGGUAUGCGCUGAAAAUUCUGGGCAGGUGUGUCCUGUUCCUAGCCCUGUUUUGCUACCUUUGACUCGGUAUUUACUUCUGAAAUUUUUACUGAAGAUAUAUGUUGGGGUCUGGAAUGUGUCAUUAAAAUUCUAUACAAACAGACCAAUUUUUCUAUUUAUUAAAAAUCUUAGCAUCGGGCUGGUUUUGCAGGACAAUUUCUGGUGCCUGAUUUGCAGGCCUGUUUUACAGCUUUAAACUUGGAGUUUCUUCCUGAAAAGUUUACUGUAGGUUGGAAUAAUGGUUGGGAGUGUCCCAUAAAAAUUUCGUAUUAAAACGAUAUAUUUUCAAUUUAUUAAAAAUUAUAGAAUGAAGGUUGUUUGAACUAUUUGCUCUAGUUUUCUUUCUUUGUUAGUGCAUAAUACGAGGUUCUACUUGAUUAAUUGCAUAUGAUUGAUUAUUAAAUUGAUUGGCUCAGUUGACCUUGUAUAUGUUAUUAAACGUAUUUUGUGUAUAGUGAAUUAGCAAACAUGCUAAAAGCUUUUCUUAUGUGUUUUAUCGCAAGUCAAGGGAUCUUUUUAUAUUAAUAAUUCAUGUGUUAGCAAUAGUAUUGGUUGGUUGUUGGUAUUGCAAACAGGUGGAUAAGCCUAUAAACAAAGGAGAUGCUGCCGAAUUUUCGUUAGAAAUUAUAUGUAUUUAAUGGCUAUAAAAAGAGUUGUUUGUACAACUAUGUGCUAUGUGUUUAUCUGAUUAUGUGGUAUGCAUAUGCGAAGGGUAGAUAUAUAUAGGUCUUAAUGUUUUUCAGGGUUAGUUAAUCCGUCUAAUUCGACGAUUGAAAUACUAUUUUACUAUCGUAUAGAAUUGAAGACAUUGACCGAGGCAUUGAUCGAGAAUCGAUUGCAAUGGGUAUUCAGAAAUAGCCAAGUAGUGUUGCAAGUUGAAGUAGAGCGAAGAUUUGUUAUAGAUAAAAGCUUGUCAGAAGUUGACAAAAAGGAAUGAUAUGGCGGUAUAUAGUAUUAUUAGAAAUCUGAGCUAGACACUGGAGUUAAGGCAAGUACUCUAACCCUUCACUUAUUGUUCAAGUGAGAUAUUUGAUUCAAUCAUGAUAUCGAUAGAUUGAUUACUCUCAAGAUUUAUUGCAAGUACUUCUACCUUUCUCUUGCAAAUUGGAAGCAAGUGAACUUUUCUUAAACUUUUGAUUCUUGCAAAUGCAUGACUUAAGUACGAUUUUGAUUUGAAAGGUUGACAUACCAAAUUGGUACACAUGGUUUCAAAAUAUUUAUAAAUAAUUUUCAUAACUCGGUUUAAUUCCUCUGAUCGUAAGGCUUAUCUGUUAUAAGUAUACAUCUGAUGGAAUAAACCUUUUUCUUGAAAAUGUAAAGCUGGGAAAACACUCGAACUUUGUGAGACAUUUGGUACGGUUAAUAAGUGGCUGAGGCGCCAGUCCCAAGUUUUAACAGAUCUGGCUAUAUAUGUGUGAAUCCAUGGAUAUUAUUUUUUUCAACAUUAUCUAAUGUGUUUAGGUAUUGUUGGGGCCUGUGAAGGACUGAUCAUCUUUCACAGACCAUUGCGUCUUAUCUAAAUCCAAUAUGUAAACAGGUUCGAGAAUUUGAUGUUAAAGGAAGGGGGACUUCCUAUUUGAAUUGAAAAGCUUUUAAAGGAAGGGUUAUUUCCAAAUUAAUUUGAAAAGCUUUUGAUUUAGAAGCGGAGGCUUCAACUUGAUUUAAAAAGCAAAUAAUUGUUGAUUUUUAAACUGUUUUCGAACCGUUACGUUUUACUAUGCUGCUUCUCCACUUGUUUUACUAUACAGCUUUACAUACUGAUUUGUUUACAGUACAUUUUUUUACUGUUUACCAUGCAUUUGAUUACUUUAUCACUUGCUGAGCAUUUUUGGCUCAUUCUUGCUUUUCAACCCUAACCUUUCAGCCAAGGACAAAGAUGUUUCACCCGAUUAGGCUGCGUGUGCGUGUAAGAGUAAUGAUAGGCAAGGAUUGCAAGUGGUUGAGUUUCAGGCAUAUGGUCAGGUAGAGUAUCCAGAAAGAUGUCAUUAAGACUAGUUGCAGUUGCAGUUGUGCAAUUUAAUUCAGUUGGGAAUUAGAUUUGUUUAUUUGGUUAUCAACUACUCUUCAUAUCGAGGUUUAGUUGAUAAUUUAGUUGAAGUUGUAUAAAAUUUGUAGUUUUGUUUUCUGAUUUCAAUACUAUAGCCUGUAUCGAUCCUGUUUUCAGGGGGUGAAAUUGAUUUGUAAUUUAAAUCAUUUUUAAAAUAUCCAAGUUUUAAAAUAUUUGUUUUUACUUUCUUUCAAAAAUACCGGUUUUUAAUUGUUUUUCUUUUAGUGGCUCAAAAAUACAGGUUUUAAAUUAUUUUUUUAUUUACACGUGGCACCAGAUCCAGACCCCCGGAUCUGUGGGAUGUCACAGUUGGUAUCAGAGCUGCAGGUUAUAAGUCAUUGAAAUCAGA
rnacentral:lncRNA from 1 species